UUACAUCACUUUAUACAAUUGCAUUUGUAUUUUAUAUCAUUUACGUAUUAUUUGCAAUAAUAGCCUAUAUGCAACAAUAAUUAUAUUUAUCAUGCUAUUUAGGUGAAAAUGGUAUUUUUACAUUUUUACAAUUAUAAUAUACUAUUUUAAAAGUGUUUAUUUUGAAAAUAGAAUUUUUAUCAUUUUAUAGCCAUUUGUUUUUAAUUUAUUUUAAUUAGCUUUCAUGUGUUUUAAGCUUAUGGCCUAAUUAAGCCAAUUUUCGGACUAAACAAACCUGAAAAGAACAUGGCCCAACAACCUAAACCCAACACCCGCAACCCAAUGCCCUUUAACCCAUCUAUCACCCGUUAUACGCCUGCUUCGCCCUUAAAAUCUCAGCCGUUGAUCCAUUAAGAUCAACGGCCCACAACAACCCCCUCGUCUUCCUUAUAUUGCUUCAUUCAAACCCCAAUCUUUAUUCUCACCCCACAUCCGCCUCUUAAUCUUCUAUACUUCCUUCCCACUCUGUAAAACCCUAGCCGUCUCACACUCAAACUUUCUCUGAAUCCGACCUGACCAUGGAACCUUUUCAUGAUUUACUUGCCUUAUUCAUGUUAUCUCGUCAUUACCCACACGUUCAUGGCAUUAAUUAGUACUUGCCCAAUUUUGAAAAGUACUAUCUUUCAAAAUCGGGCAUAACCAACUUAAAUCUUUGGAAUUUAGAUGAUAUUUCAUCUAUAUACAUGUGAUGAGAAUUCACUCUUGUACUCAUAGGUCGAUUUACAAUCUUGGAGCCCUAACUAGGGUUUGAAAGUUGAUUUCAUUCCUUUGCGUGUUGUUUCACUGAUUGCAUGUGAUUUUUUUUUCCUUGUUUGUGUUUGAUUUGAUUUCUUUCCUUGUUUAUUCGCCUAAUAAUAUACUAUAUAAACCCCUUUCCAAUUCACCUUGAGAUAGACUUUAGUCAUCAUAUCUCUCACUCACAUUGGUUCUAUUUUGUUUUGAUUCUCUAAAUAAUACUGUUGUUUGAUUGUGUUCUUGGCCGGCUGAAAGACAAGGCCACUUUGGUAUCAUUCAAAGCUUCCUCCGAUACAAGCACUGCUCGAAGCCCUUUGAGGCUUCUGCGAACUCUGAAGCACGGGAGACCUUGGGGUUCUCACUGCUCUCCUUUACUCGCUGCUACUGAACUACUGCUGAAACUCUGAUUUCCUCAUUUUUUUCUCAUUUCUCUUUGCAACUGGUUAGUGCUAUUGAAUUCUACAGUUUACUUGUUACAUGAGUAUGUUUAGAUUAUACCUUCACUUGUUCGUAUUUAUGUGCAUCUGUAUGGCACUACUGUCUGAACUCUUAUUAAAAAUAGAAAAGCAUGACUUAGGUUUCUCUGAAAUUUGUGAGUCAAAUUUUGUAUUGUGUUAUAUACUUUGCUGCAAUUUCAUUGUCAAGGUAUUGAGGAUUCGUGUCUUUAAGUCUACUUGAGAUUUAAUACCUCAUAUGUCAUCUCUGUUACAUAUAAUUAUACUUUCCUAUAUGUAUAUAAUGGAUUAGAAGAACUCCUCUAUUCUUUUGAGAAUUAAGUGAACACAUGCUGUUUGAUUUGCUAGUUUCUAUAAUUAUAAACCACGAAUAUAAGAUUGAUUUGCUUUAGACUUUCAUGAUAAACCUCCCCUGUAGGACUUCUAUGUUCUUAUGAUUAAGUCUAAACUAUGUGUAUACAUGACGUUUGCCUUACAGUUUCAUGACCUUUCCUGUAAGAAUUUAUGUUUGAUCUUGUGCCUGGAACUAAGUCUUGAGCAUUAUAGAGGACUUGUCUUUAAGGUAUUCUGGUAGAUGUUUGUUUCCUGGACAUAUGUGAUUAUGUGUUUCCUUUUUGUGUUGCAUUGAGGGCAUAUGCUCGUAAACUUUUCAUGUGAUUGGUAAAGUUGCUCUUAUCUUGACUAUGUGCUCAUUUGAUUCAAGAUCUAUUAAAUUUAUGUGACUACAUUUACUCUCUUAUUCAUGUUAGAAAUCAUGUCUAGGAUUAUGAUUAUUUACGAAGGCUUGGGAACUUAUCUUUGACAUGAUAAAUUGCUUAAAAUGACUGUAGUCACCUAAAGAUUUAAUUAGCACAUAUUCGUAUGAUUCUUUUUAUUAAGUCCUUAUGAAAUUUUUAUCUGUAAUCCUUGAGCAUAUGCAUACAUUUUGAAUAAGGAUAAUUGAUUUAGACUGAGAUUUUUGGCACGAAAGCUAAAGCAUGCGGGCGAGAUACAGUUAUGACACACAGGACAUGAUGAUCAAAUAUUGAUUUAUGUUGGAUGCUAUUAUACCCCUUUUUGCACUUGGAUUUUGAUCCAUCUCUCUGGAGUCAAGCGAUUAUCCAUGUUACUUUGCGCCCUUUAAGCGUGUGGUUGGUAAAUAAACUUUGUACUAGGUCAAUAUAUAGAUUUUGUAUCGGGUUAUUUUAAUACAUAAAUUUGUAUCAGAAUAUAUGGAUCUUGUAUCAUGGUACAUGGAUCUUGAACGAAUUUGAGCAUGCAUUCAUAUUAUUGAUACAUUUAGAAGCAUUCAUUUAAAUGCUAAUUGUUACAUGGCAUGUAUACGUGCUAGUUGGGAGCCUCAACUCUAUUGUUUGAAGCAUGCUACCUUUACUUGUCGUACUUGGGGCGUUAUGGUUAUCUACUGAAUUGGAAAAGCAUGUUUUAUGUCUUUGGCUAUUUUUUGUCGUGAUACCUGUUGAUCAUGAGGAUAUUUACUGUUCCAACUCCAGACUUGUUAUUUUUUCUGUGUUGUAAGUGUUCGGAUGCAUCUAGCCUCGCCACCACUUUUUUGAGAUUAGACUUGAUACUUACUGGGUACCGAUAAUGGUGUAUUCAUAUUAUGCUUUUGCAUAUUUUUGUGCAGGUCCUGAGGAUGGUAUUGCGGUACUCUUUGAUCUGAGUAGGAGUGUGUUGUUGAAGACUUCGUGGUGAGCUACAAUAAUAUUUCGAUCCACAACACAUGAAGUCCCCGUCCUUAUUUAUCUUCUAUCUGUUUUCUUUGUCACAAGCAAUUGUGAUUAUGUAUUCUGACAUGUACCAUUCAGCAGUUGCUCGUGUACUUGUGUCACUUAGUUCUUGGAGUUGUAUUGUUUCGGUCGUAGUUAGACUAUGUAAUACUUGUAUCAAUUUUUUUACCACCUUGACAUUAUUCCUGCUUUUAUUAUGAUAUAACUAUGUUAAAUAAAGAAAAUUAGACUAUAUUCUGUUAAUUGUGAGUUUGCUUGCUUAGCAAGUACAACUAGGCGCC
rnacentral:lncRNA from 1 species